rnacentral:lncRNA from 1 species
AACUACUCCAUUCGACCGCAAGGAGUAUUUUAAUGCGGUGCAUGGUUCUCACAGACUGCCUCUAGCUGGCCUCUAGUGAUGUUGGUGCGACCGCAUGGAAAGUGAAGUGUACGGUUCGGACCCUAGCAACUCCAUUGUCUUUCCAAACCGUCGGCACCACACUGCUUUUAUCUCAUUACACAAAACCCUUGGUUGUCAAAAUUCAAUUAGCUAUUCUUUCUGCCUGUUUGUUACUGAAUAUGCAAUUACAACUUCAUUUUUGCUUCUCUAACCUAGAUUUCUCUUUAUGAAGGAGUAAUUUCACUUUCAUCACAUCAAAAGGUAUGUACUUGGAUAGUGCUUCGAAAUUUUUUUAUAAUGAGUUCGAGCUGGGAAAAGAAGUGGGUAGAGUUCAUUUUGGGUAUACUUGUCAUGAAUUGGUAAAACCAUAUAUUAAAUUAGCAAUAUCUGUUAGUUGUUUUCCAGGUCAAGAAGUUUUACACUUGGAGCUUAUUAAAGCUUGAACAUCAUGAUUGUUUAAACUUUUUGCAAUAGACAUUGUUUUAUAUAAGAAUCUGCAAAGAAAUUUAGGAGUUUUUAGACAUUUGGUUAAUUUCCACAUUAUGUCUAUAUAUUUGAUUGCUGAGGAAUUUUACUUUAUUGUAAUUAAUUGCAGUUUUUUUCCAAAUACAGAGAAAUAUGUUUCAUUACUCAUUGAAGAUGAUGACGCUGAAGUUGUAGAGCGAAGAAAUAAGGAUAAUCUAUUUAGUGCUGCAUCAAGUGAGAAGGAUUUGGAACGUACUCCUUUUUUUUUUUGUGGUUUACUUACAGGACCAAGUUUAAGAAGAGGAAACUUAUAGGACCGGAGGUUGCUAUUAAGGUCAUUCUAAAAGUGAGGUUUGGAUUUUUCUCCCUUCCUUUUCAAAUUCUGCUUAUGGUUUAGUGUUACUGAAUUUAGUAAUUAUUCUGUAUAUGAAUCAGAUUAAAAGAAAGAACAUUUUUCAGUAAUUAAUUGGGAUGAUUCUGUUUGUGGAAUAGUUAGUGGCGACAUCAUUAGGUAUUGUCAUUUCCCUUCUCCUAUUCCUGGUUUUGUAUGUUUUAUUGAUUAAGGGACCUCGGGUAUAACAUUAUAAUGUAGAGAAUAUUAGCCUUUUAUUGUCUUUUAUAUUGGCAAAAAAUUCUAAUUUCAAGUCCUUUAUUUAUGCAUUCUAUCAAUACUGGGAUUUAUGUAGUUAACUGAGGAGUAAGCAGUUUGUUCGCCACUGAUGCUCAGCUCUACUUGUCCCAUAGCUAACAUGCCACAUAUUGGGGAUAAGUUAUGUUACUUUCCUCAAGGUCACAAGCGUGCAGAUGUGCCACAUGAGGUAUGAAAUCGUUCCACUGCAGCAUCGACUUUGACGGUGGAGACCGGCAUUUUGAUAUAACGUCGCCUCACCACCAAAUCCACCUACUUUCUUCUUUCCACUUUUUUUGAAUUCCGAAUUUGACAUCUUUUUUGGAUGGUCGAUUUUACCUAUAUUUAUCAAGAACUCCAUUUGCAAAGAUAGAGAUUGUGAUGAAAAAACCAAAAGAAAUUUAUAGUUGAGUUGGCGGGUUUUUUCUCUACACAGAGAUAGAGACCGGCCCUCAAUUUUGAUCAUCAGGUUUAUACUUUUUUUAUAUUUUAUCUCUAUUUUUAUUUGAAGAUUUGUUUUAUGUCUUGGAAAUUUGGUGCUUUUAAUUUAUUUAUUAUUUUGUGCAAUUUAUAACCAGACAUAAUAACUUUUUCUUUGUUUAGGUUAAUGCAUGUUAUGAGGUAUGCUUUGUAUACGAUGGUUGUAGGAUGGGGAUAGAUUUUGGAACAUGCUAGAAUGUUAUAUUUGAAGAAAUACCAUUAAGUGUCUUGGUGUUUGAGAUGAGGUAUGCUGCAUUUUUAGGCAUUUGCUGUAUUCUUUUUCUUUUGUUUUCGGUAAGGGGUUGUUGGGGAUGGCGGUAGUCACGACGGAUCAGUAAAGCUUCUACUUGCUUUGAAUGGAAAGGCCUUAAAAAAAAAAUCAUAUCAUGGUUAUUGAGAAAUGAUUAAACUUACUAUUUCUAAUUCUUAACUUUCUCUCUUGUUCAACUGGAACCAAGUUGAGAUAACGUCAAAAUUUAGUCAUUCAGUGCUUAUGGCUAAUUACAAACCUGGCUCUUUAAGCUAUAGUGUCGCAAUAUGUUAAAGCUCAUUUCAUUAAAAGGAUAAAAAAAAUAAUUUCAUCUUCUAAUACUUAAUUCAAUUUAGUUGGAGAUCAAUAUUAUGAUUGCCUAGAGCUCUAACUAUUUUUCUCCUUCAUUUGCUUGCUUGCUUGAUCUGGGAUGAUGUAACUUAUCCAAAUCAGAUAUUGAUGUGCUCCUCGAGGUGUUUCCUUUGAGGUUGUUCAUAUUGUCAUUUGGAGGCUUAUUUGUUGUCUCUGCUUUUGUGCACUGCCUCAAGCCUCAGUUGGGACCCUAUGGUAGAAGCACAUCUAUUUGACAAUAAAAACAGAUAUUGAUUCCUUACUGAUUAUGCAUUUUGUUUGAACAUUUAUCUUUUUUUGUUUUCAUUUUUUAGGAAAUGUCUAGCUUCACUGAGCUAAUUGAAGCAAUAUUUACGUGUCAUUAGAAUAUAUUUUAUUUUUUCUAGGAUGUUGAACAUUUGCAAAUAUUUACUACCUCUUUCACCUUUGUAACCUUUCCUUCCUUUUUGCCUUCGUGGUUCCAAGAGCGUUCAUUUUCUUUACUUUUUUUGUUUGUUUCUACAUCUGAAAAUUCUCUUUCUAGAUCUGCUUUUCCUUCAAGAAAUCCUGAAAACUUGUUUAUGGGGAUAAUUUGACGCACAAUUGGAGAAUUAGCUGCUGCUGUCUUUCUUUCUAGAUCUGCUUCAAUAAGUUUGCCUUCAUCUUAUUGGGUUACAAUAAGUUCAGUCAAUAGUACUCCAUGUUUGAAAUUCUGUUUUGUAUCUAUGUUCUGUUCUACUACAUGUUUGGGGUUCUUAUAUAAGUGCUUCUUUGGUUCAAAAGAAACAAAUUUUGAGUCUACCCAAUAAUUGGCUCCUACUUAGCACCUUUUAAGCAUAACAAACAAGAACUUAUAAUUUAUGUAUUUUUCUUGACAAAAUGGAACCUUCUAUUGAACAAAGGGGACACAUUUUAACAAUUUAUAUUUAGUGUUUGACACUUGGAACAAUUUUCACAUACAGGUUAUGGCAAUUACUAAUUUCAAGCUCUUAAGUGGCCAAAUUUAUUUAAAUUUAGUCUUUAAUGUCAUAAGGAAAUUGUAUGUCCUGAUCCUACCUUGAGCAGUUGUUGAAGACAAAACGUUUUAUUAUUUAGACUAACAGGUUCCACUAACUCUCAUCAAUAAUUGGCCAAAUUUGUUCUCUCGUACACAGUUUUCACAUAUAGGUGGUUGUAACACUUAAUUUUAAGAACUUAGAUUGUAUUGCUUUAGCUGCUAGAAUUGGUCUUCAACACCUUCUUGUGUGUACUUACUGAUUAUAGGAAGUAACAUUAUGUCAUGACAUGAAUACUUUGUCUCCAAUUACACAAUAUUAUGCGUCUCUCCAACUUUCUCUAUUUCAUUAUAAUAUCAAAAUUUCUUUGAGUAAGGUGGAUUUGGUUGUAUGAAGAAACACACAUGCAUAGAUUUUGUAUGAUCUUGGCAUUGAUAUUUCUUUCUUUAGCUCACUUAAGAUUUCUUCUUAUGCUGGAAGAAAAUGGGAGUAGAUAAAUGUCAUGGCAAUAGUUAAUUUCAUAGGUAAAUUCAGUGGAGAUUGUUCUUUUAUUCAGAUUGAAGACCUCAAAUGUUUGUGCAAACUAGGUAGUCAGACUCUAGGUCACCCAGAGAACACAUUGAUAGAUGGCAUUAAAGGCACAAAUAGUACAAAUGUAAAGUAUAAUGAUUAUGAUCUGUUUAUAUAAUCCAAUUUAAUAUUCAUUCAGAGCUGGCUUCUUUUUCACUACAAAUCUUACAAUCUCAUACAAUUUCACAAGGAGAAUAAAAUCCUUCACACGCAAACAGAGAUUUCACUUUAUUUAUAACUACAAUAUUAUGCUGUCAUAGUCCAGUAGAAAACUUCUCUGCAAGCUAUAAAUAUAAUAGGCCAGGAAGUUCAACACUUGGUACUUCUUUCUGAAAUAAUGGUUGUUUAUGGCCAAACUUGGUUACGUACUUUUGACAAAAUUCACACAAAUUUUCUUCCAAAAGUUACCGACCAACUUGUAAAUUUAUGGCAAGAAUUACAGCCUUUCUCAUUUAAUAGUUUAUCAAACAAUAUGGGGAGAAUAAAUUCAAAAACAAAUGCGUAGCAGAAAAAUAGUAAACGACGUGUAACGAAAGGAGUUGCACCUUGGAUGAGGAUUCCCCUUGACCACCUUCUGGCCAUAUUUUUGCCAUUUAUAUCCAUCAUCCAACAGAUCAAUUUCACUUCUUGUCUGCCAAACGAUUCUAGAUUCCGUAAUUGUUUUAUUUGUUGGUGCUUGCAUGGACGACCCAAUCUCAAUACUCCCUGCAUUUCAAAGGGAGGUAUACCACAUAAGUAAAUGAUUGAGUAGAAAAUAUGUUCAUUGGGAUAAUUUAAAUAGAAAAAUCCAUAUAAAUUUUACCUUCUUUUUGUAUUAGGUUCAUCAUCAUUCCUGUCAUUGGUUUAAAUUGUUGAAUCUUCCACUUCAUUAAGAUUAAUUGAGAGCCGGGACGAUGCUCAGAUACUGAUUGUGUAGAUUCCUGAACUUUUGAAGGUCCAGGUUGAAAAGGUGCAACCUCAUUUUCCAGGCACAUUUCACCCUGACUCUGUGAACUAAUUACCAGCUUCACCUGGGAGUUCGAAGUUCCAUCCAAAGCACAACUAUCUGUCUAUCUCUUCCGUGUUUAGAGGGUUGAGGCAUAUCAUGAUUGUGCUGCCCUUUAUAUGUAAUCUCAGUUAUAUGAUCAUCAACGAUUCAACAGAUCAGUCGACCUUCUUCUUGACAGGACAAUUAAAAUGCAUACAUUUGUAGUAGCUUCUUGGACACUCACUCGCCUUUACAUGCUUCUGCCCAUGUUUCCUCCAAUUGUAGCAAUCAUUUUCUAUUUUGGGUUGGUGAAGUGCAAUAACAAAGUGUGGCCGUUCAUGUAUCAAAAGUUGUACCCAUCUUAGUCUGAUGAAAUGAAAUUGCACUGUUUUUUUUUUUUUUUUUUUUUUGUGUGUUUUAAAUAAGGAAUUUGGUAGUUUGUCAUAUUGUGUUUUAGUUAUUAAGAGUAUUAGUCAGCAAGUGCAAGUUGGAAUUGGAAGGGAAAGAAAGCAAUAUAAUAAAGUGUUAAGUUUCAGUUAUUUUGGAAAGGGAACUGCCAGAGAACCGAGAGAAUUGUUUCAAAUAAGUUCUUGAUUGUACAAAAGAGCCUGUACUGAGUGAUUGGUCCAUAGCUAUAUUAGCACCAUUGGAUUUUGUGAGUUUUAUUCUUAUAAUUCCUUUUAUUAAUGUUGAUUAGAUUACAAAAUAGUUAAGUUAUUUUCAGGUCUUUCGCACUGUUUUUAUUGUGGGUUAAUGUGAUUAUCCAUAAUUAAUGCAGAAAAUUAUGACUCUGGAGCUAGAUGGGAA